rnacentral:lncRNA from 1 species
UUAUAAUAUAGAUAGGUCGGUGAUCGAAUUACUGUCGUGUUUGUUUAUUAUUUAAAUUUAUUUAAAGUACUACAACUUUAAAAAUUUGUACUACAUAAUACUGUGUUGUGUUCGGGAACAGGCAUCCCCCCCCGUCCAACCACCCCACGUCGUUCUUUGAACCCCAACCAACUAACCCUGGACUCUUUUGUGUUUUUAUUUUUGAAAAUAAUAUUGAGAAGUACAUUUAGUGAAUGAUAGAGGGCCGAAGUAUCCUAUAUAUAAGGUAUUGGCAGUUCAGUCAACACUACUAACCAGACAGAUGACGUCACGAAAGGGAUAAAAAUCAAAAUAAACUCAGUAUACUUCAUACUUUACUUGACUGAGAAUUAAAUAAAUUACUUUUCAAUAUAAUUAUAAAAAAUCCUUUGGAUCUAAAUAAUAAUGGACUUGAAUCUACAUGGAGAGAAGGUGGAACCUCCUGAGUCCAACCCCAUAAAAAAAAAUUGUCAUAAAAUAUGUGCAAUCUUCGGUUGCUAAAGUCCUGAUGGCGUCAUAUACCACAAUUUUCCAAAGAACAUGGUUCGACAGAAGAUUUGGAAGAAUCUUUGCAAGAGGAAGGAUACAUUUAAAGAAGAAAAUGCACAAGUGUGUAGUAUGCACUUUAAUGAGGGAAGCUAUAAGUGGGACUUGGAACAUGAGCUUCUUCAUUUGACUCCCAGAAAGAGGCUAAAAACAGAUGCAGUACCCAUUCUGCCACUUUCUACUUCCACUGUUCCUAAGCCUGAGGAUCAAUGUGAUAAAAAGUUCCCGAAAAAUUUGCAUGAAUCAACAUUCUCUCAAACUCUCAGCAGUGUCGAUAAUCAAGGUAAAGACCAAGUAGAUUUUAUUUCACCUCGUUCCAGGAUAGAAAUGAGGAGGCAAAACAAACAAAUAGUAAACUUUAUUGAUAAAGGAACCGGAGCAACAGAAUAAGGAUAUUGGGAUACAGACAGAACAUUCCCUUUUUCUGGAAAAUACUGAUCAUCUCAAAGCAGAAUUAAAGAAAACGAAAGCUGAUUUAUGUAAACAAAAAGUCAAGGUAAACAUUCUCACAAAGAAACUCGAGUGACUUGGAGGUCAUUGGGAGGGGAAAUAAGAGUCAAUUACCAUGGCAGAGAGGUAUGCGAGUUUCAAUCAAAUCAACUCGAGCCUUGUACCAUGAUUUGAUUUCUAAUGGUCCUCUUUCUUUCAUUUUGAUGUCCAGAACUAAUCAAGAUUGCCUUGAAAUUUUUUUACCCGUUUGAGAAGUGCUGGUGGAGAUGAUGAUCACCCUGGAGCCAUUGGAGCAAUGAAAAGGAUGAUAAUUCUGGAAUUUGGAAAAAAUUGUGAAACUUUGAUGAGCAAUCCGGCCCCUUCAGAUUGAAAAAUAAUAUGACAUUUAUAGAAUUGAGGAUGAAGAGGAAAAAUCAUCCGUAACAAAGCAAAUCACUGGAGACAUCUUAGAUAUCACAAUUGGUGAAAAAAGCUGUUCAGAAUUUGAAUUUACGUUUGAUAUCCCUCAUUAAGUUCAUGUGGAUUUUGCAAUAAACCAUCAACUUGAUCGGUUCAGAAAAUGAGAUCUCAACUUUCAGGGGCUCAGUUAUGUAUCGGGUUUUAUUGCCCACAAGAUGAAACUUUUAUAUCCGGAUUCGGGGAAAAAGAGAAGUGACAUAUAUUUGAAUGGUCAUAGACUGACACCAUGGAUAUAUCAUUUGUCUAGAGGAGGACUGAGGGUGCCAUCUGAUUAUUUUUCAAAAUAUUGUGUAGUUUAUUCUUUAAAAGAUUGUGAAGUUUUCGCCCAGAAGCUCAAAGAAUUCAAUUUACCUCUAUUAGAUCGUCAUCCCAAAGUAAUCGAACGUUUUUGCCAAGUUUUGGAAGACUCUUUUGGAGGUAAGUAUGGCAAGCCUGUUCUGAAUCUCUUCGCCAAGACAAGGACAAUGAUACGAAUAAGAUACAUCAAUGCACAAUUAGAAUUUAAUACUGGAGGGAGUGAAAAAUAAGAGGAAAAAAGCAAAUCUGCCAAUUUCAAGUUUAAUUAUAAUUUAACCAAAUAUUCAAUAUAAUAUUAAUUAUCACCAAAUAGAUUAUUUUAUAUAUUUAUAGUAUAUAACUUAUCUACGGCAAAAACCAAUUCUUAUUAUUUCCUAUGUUCUGCAUUAUAAAUUUAUCCUUCAAUAAAAAGUGAAGCACAUCUGCUGUUUUAUGUAAUCGUUAGUAUAAUACACAAGCCUCUAAAUUUGA